GCUCGAGUGGCGAAAUUGGUAGACGCACAGGACUUAAAAUCCUNNUCUGGAGUUCGAAUCUCCAAUGGCUCACUA
rnacentral:tRNA from 1 species